GAAAAAUGAGGAUAAUUAAUGGUCUUAAGUUAUUAAUGAAGAUUUCAGAUUCAACUCUGAUCUCACUGCAGUG